GUUUGUUGACAAACCUCCUUAAAACAAUUGUGAACCCAUCCAUGAUUAACUUACCUUGUUCAUGGUAAACAUAUGCAAAGUGUCGACUUCGAAAACGCUUUUCAAUUUGUCAUCACAAAGAAUUGUUCGCUUGUCGUUGGGAUCUUGUAAGUCAUGUGCUUUUAUAUACUCCCAUAACUUCUUCACAGUUUGGGGACGAGAUAACUACGUUAGUUAGCAAUCAGCAGAGAAAGCGUGCAAAUAAACAUUUAGUAUGUAAGCCUGCCUCUUUUUUCAAAACAACAAGAUUUUGAAUGGAACGAGUAGGCACGGCUUCCACACUACAACACCGCCUUACCUGUUCAAGACCCAAAAAUUCGGCCAACUUAGGGGACAACUUCAUAGGCUUAUUCAGAGGAUUGUUGGCAGGAUCUUGGUUCCUCUUGCGUUUUCCACCCUCUUCUCCAUCUUCCUUGCGUUUUCGGGUUCUCUUUGCUGGUUUCUUGCCUUCUUCAGUGCCAUUUUCCGUCGCUCUCUUACCCUUGGUUUUGCGAGCGGGUGCUUGUUUUUCUACAAGUUUGGUUAAUUAUUAUUUCUUGCAUUAUUAUUUGCAAAUUUCUUCCAGCAAUAUUCUCAUCUUACCUAAACUCUCCUUCUCUGAAGGUGCGGCGGUUUCAUCAAAGCAUUUCAAAAUCAGCGCAUUCAAGUCUUUUUUAUGCGCACUCAAAUCUACCUUUCUUCUUUCUUCUAAAAGUUGACGAACUUGCUUCGCAGAUACAGUUUGGCGAUCAACUGUACCGAGAAUUUGCUUAAUGUCUGUUUCGUACUCUUCCAUCGUUCUAGUUCUUUAUACUACCACCUUACUGUGUUGGUCAAAGUAUGGUGUAGUGAGACGGUGGUAGUGGAUAUAGAUUACGGUAAAGAAGGAAAGAGCGCUGGUGUAGCUAAAUGCGAUUUUGAAAAACACGCUAUUUUUACAGAUGUAAAUACAUAAAGCUUCAAUUUAAUUUCUUGUAAAACUAAAAAUAAUGGAAAUUAUAUAUGUUAUUUUGUGC